rnacentral:rRNA from 12 species
AAAGGUGGCCGUGCCAUCCUGUGAGUGCUCAAUCCCAUCAGAUCUCAAAAGCUAAGCAAGGUUAGGACUGGUUAAUACUUGGAUAGGAAACUGCCUUGGAAGACCAGAGGCGACUAGAC